GUGGGGAAUAUUGGACAAUGGGCGCAAGCCUGAUCCAGCCAUGCCGCGUGUGUGAAGAAGGCCUUCGGGUUGUAAAGCACUUUUGUCCGGGAAGAAAUCUUCCAGGUUAAUACCCUGGGAGGCUGACGGUACCGGAAGAAUAAGCACCGGCUAACUUCGUGCCAGCAGCCGCGGUAAUACGAAGGGUGCAAGCGUUACUCGGAAUUACUGGGCGUAAAGCGUGCGUAGGUGGUUCGUUAAGUCUGUCGUGAAAGCCCCGGGCUCAACCUGGGAAUGGCGGUGGAUACUGGCGGGCUAGAGUGCGGUAGAGGGUGGUGGAAUUCCCGGUGUAGCAGUGAAAUGCGUAGAGAUCGGGAGGAACAUCUGUGGCGAAGGCGGCCACCUGGACCAGCACUGACACUGAGGCACGAAAGCGUGGGGAGCAAACAGGAUUAGAAACCCCAGUAGUCC
rnacentral:rRNA from 1 species